rnacentral:rRNA from 1 species
GACGAACCGAGCGAACGUUGUUCGGAAUCCCUGGGCUUAAAGGGCGCGUAGGCGGGUGCUCAAGUCCGGGGUGAAAUCCCACAGCUCAACUGUGGAAUUGCCUCGGAUACUGGGUGUCUCGAGGGUGGUAGGGGUAUGCGGAACUAUCGGUGGAGCGGUGAAAUGCGUUGAUAUCGAUAGGAACUCCGGUGGCGAAGGCGGCAUACUGGACCACUUCUGACGCUGAGGCGCGAAAGCCAGGGGAGCGAACGGG